UAGGGAAUCUUCCACAAUGGACGCAAGUCUGAUGGAGCAACGCCGCGUGAGUGAAGAAGGUUUUCGGACCGUAAAGCUCUGUUGUUGGUGAAGAAGGAUAGAGGUAGUAACUGGCCUUUUAUUUGACGGUAAUCAACCAGAAAGUCACGGCUAACUACGUGCCAGCAGCCGCGGUAAUACGUAGGUGGCAAGCGUUGUCCGGAUUUAUUGGGCGUAAAGCGAGCGCAGGCGGAAGAAUAAGUCUGAUGUGAAAGCCCUCGGCUUAACCGAGGAAUUGCAUCGGAAACUGUUUUCUUGAGUGCAGAAGAGGAGAGUAGAACUCCAUGUGUAGCGGUGGAAUGCGUAGAUAUAUGGAAGAAUACCAGUGGCGAAGGCGGCUCUCUGGUCUGCAACUGACGCUGAGGCUCGAAAGCAUGGUAGCGAACAGGAUUAGAUACCCUGGUAGUCCAUGCCGUAACGAUGAGUGCUAAGUGUUGGGAGGCUUCCGCCUCUCAGUGCUGCAGCUAACGCAUUAAGCACUCCGCCUGGGGGAG
rnacentral:rRNA from 1 species